rnacentral:rRNA from 1 species
UACGUAGGCAGCGAGCGUUGUUCGGAGUUACUGGGCGUAAAGAGUGCGUAGGCGGUUUUCUAAGUUUGGUGUGAAAUCUCCCGGCUUAACUGGGAGGGUGCGCCGAAAACUGGAAGGCUUGAGUAUGGGAGAGGUAAGCGGAUUCCUGGUGUAGCGGUGAAAUGCGUAGAUAUCAGGAGGAACACCUGCGGUGUAGACGGCUUACUGGACCAUAACUGACGCUGAGGCACGAAAGCGUGGGUAGCAAACAGG